GCCUCUGGAGCAUGACGGCCAUGCACGGGUCCCGUACACCCGCGAUGCCGGUUCGAAUCCGGCCAGAGGCU
rnacentral:tRNA from 2 species